rnacentral:misc_RNA from 1 species
GUAGGUGAACCUGCGGAAGGAUCAUUACAGAGUUCAUGCCCUAACGGGUAGAUCUCCCACCCUUGAUAUUUAUACCUUUGUUGCUUUGGCGGGCCUGCUUCGGCCACCGGCCCCGGCUGGUGAGUGCCCGCCAGAGAACCCCAACUCUUGUUUUUUAGUGUCGUCUGAGUACUAUAUAAUAGUUAAAACUUUCAACAACGGAUCUCUUGGUUCUG